rnacentral:rRNA from 1 species
ACGGAAGGCAGCAGUGGGGAAUAUUGCACAAUGGGGGAAACCCUGAUGCAGCGACGCCGCGUGAGUGAAGAAGUAUUUCGGUAUGUAAAGCUCUAUCAGCAGGGAAGAUAAUGACGGUACCUGACUAAGAAGCCCCGGCUAACUACGUGCCAGCAGCCGCGGUAAUACGUAGGGGGCAAGCGUUAUCCGGAUUUACUGGGUGUAAAGGGAGCGUAGACGGCAUAGCAAGUCUGAAGUGAAAAUCCAGAGCUCAACUCUGGAACUGCUUUGGAAACUGCCAGGCUAGAGUGCAGGAGGGGCAAGCGGAAUUCCUAGUGUAGCGGUGAAAUGCGUAGAUAUUAGGAGGAACACCAGUGGCGAAGGCGGCUUACUGGACUGUAACUGACGUUGAGGCUCGAAAGCGUGGGGAGCAAACAGGAUUAGAUACCCUGGUA